rnacentral:rRNA from 1 species
GAUGAACGCUGGCGGCGUGCCUAAUACAUGCAAGUCGAGCGAACGGACGAGAAGCUUGCUUCUCUGAUGUUAGCGGCGGACGGGUGAGUAACACGUGGAUAACCUACCUAUAAGACUGGGAUAACUUCGGGAAACCGGAGCUAAUACCGGAUAAUAUUUUGAACCGCAUGGUUCAAAAGUAAAAGACGGUCUUGCUGUCACUUAUAGAUGGAUCCGCGCUGCAUUAGCUAGUUGGUAAGGUAACGGCUUACCAAGGCAACGAUGCAUAGCCGACCUGAGAGGGUGAUCGGCCACACUGGAACUGAGACACGGUCCAGACUCCUACGGGAGGCAGCAGUAGGGAAUCUUCCACAAUGGGCGAAAGCCUGACGGAGCAACGCCGCGUGAGUGAUGAAGGUCUUCGGAUCGUAAAACUCUGUUAUUAGGGAAGAACAUAUGUGUAAGUAACUGUGCACAUCUUGACGGUACCUAAUCAGAAAGCCACGGCUAACUACGUG